UUAAGUGACGAUAGCCUAGGAGAUACACCUGUACCCAUGCCGAACACAGAAGUUAAGCCCUAGAACGCCGGAAGUAGUUGGGGGUUGCCCCCUGUGAGAUAGGGAAGUCGCUUUGC
rnacentral:rRNA from 1 species